rnacentral:rRNA from 1 species
UACGAAGGGGGCUAGCGUUGUUCGGAAUUACUGGGCGUAAAGCGUGCGCAGGCGGUUGUGCAAGACAGAGGGGAAAUCCCCGAGCUUAACUUGGGAACUGCCUUUGUGACUGCAUAGCUAGAGUGUGUCAGAGGGGGGUAGAAUUCCACGUGUAGCAGUGAAAUGCGUAGAGAUGUGGAGGAAUACCGAUGGCGAAGGCAGCCCCCUGGGAUAACACUGACGCUCAUGCACGAAAGCGUGGGGAGCAAACAGG